rnacentral:rRNA from 1 species
CCUACGGGCGGCACCAGUGGGGAAUAUUGGACAAUGGGCGAAAGCCUGAUCCAGCAAUGCCGCGUGUGUGAAGAAGGUCUUCGGAUUGUAAAGCACUUUCGACGGGGACGAUGAUGACGGUACCCGUAGAAGAAGCCCCGGCUAACUUCGUGCCAGCAGCCGCGGUAAUACGAAGGGGGCUAGCGUUGCUCGGAAUGACAGGGCGUAAAGGGCGCGUAGGCGGUUUAUGCAGUCAGAUGUGAAAUCCCCGGGCUUAACCUGGGAACUGCAUUUGAGACGCAUAUACUAGAGGUCGAGAGAGGGUUGUGGAAUUCCCAGUGUAGAGGUGAAAUUCGUAGGUAUUGGGAAGAACACCGGUGGCGAAGGCGGCAACCUGGCUCGAUCCUGACGCUGAGGCGCGAAAGCGCGGGGAGCAAACAGGAUUAGAUACCCUUGUAGUC